rnacentral:lncRNA from 1 species
GACUUUAUUGUUGAACACUGCAUGACUGUAUAUUGAUACUAUGAUGGGCUAAGAUCCUAACGCAUACUGAUACUGUGAUGGGCUAAGGCCCCACUGCAUAUUUGAUACUGUACUGAGUUAGGCUAAGGCUCAAACUGUCACUGAUACUGAAAAAGGCUUAGGCCCAAGACUGUUCAACUGUGCACUGUGAAUAUUGAUUGUUUG